rnacentral:lncRNA from 1 species
CAGCUGAAUAUGGCUGUUGUGUUGGUUGAAUGUUCCAGGCAGGUUCCAGAAUGUUCUUCAGCUGGUGAUCCUUGUAUGGGGAAUGGAAGCUGGUUUAGAAAGGCUGUGGCGAUGUUGGCAGGGAUGUUGGGUUUGGGGGGGCUGUGACUCUGACUCCUUGAGGACAACCAUCUGGUCCUUUCUGCACUCCACAGUCAGGUGGACAACCGUCUGGUUCUGUCUGCACUCCCCAGCCAGGUAGACAACAGUCUGGUUCUGUCUGCACUCCCCAGCCAGGUAGACAACCGUCUGGUUCUGUCUGCACUGUACAGCCAGGUAGACAACCGUCUGGUUCUGUCUGCACUCCCCAGCCAGGUAGACAACCGUCUGGUUCUGUCUGCACUCCCCAGUCAGGUAGACAACCGUCUGGUUCUGUCUGCACUCCACAGUCAGGUGGACAAGCCUCUCGUAUACUUUCUUCACCACCCACUGCUUCAGCCUCUGGCAGAAGAUUUGUUUGUUCUGCAAGUCUCCUGGAAAGACAUGAAGACUGAUGAUGAGGACGUGUAAAACAUGAAGACUGAUGAUGAGGACGUGUAAC